rnacentral:rRNA from 1 species
AAUUAAAAAUUUUUAAUAAUUUUUAUACAUUAAAUUUAAAAUUUUUUAAUUUAAAAUAAUUAAAUGAAAUAUGUUUUAAAAAACUUAAAUAAAUUAAUUUAAAUAAUAAAAUUAAUUUUAUACUUAAUUAAUUUUUAAGAAAAAUUUAAUUUUUUUACCUUUUGUAUCAGGAUUAAUUAAAAAUUUAUAUAAAUUUAUAUAAUUCUCGAAUUUAAAAAAUUUAAAUUUAUAAUUAAAAUAAUAUAAAAAUAUUAUAUAAAAUUUAAAUUUAGAAACUAUAUAUUAAACAAUUUUAAAAUUAUCUAGUUAUUUAGAAAAUAAAUUCAAUUUAAUUUUAAUUUUAAAAUUUAUUUUUUUUAAAAAAAAUUUUAAAUUAAAAAAAUAAUUUAAGGGAUAAACUUUAAAUUAUUUUUAUAAAUUAAAUAAAUUAUUCUAUAAUUUAAAAUUAAAAUUAUUUUUAAUUAAAAAAUAUUUAAUAAUUUUAUAACAUUUUUAAUUUAAAUAAUUUUUUAUAAAAAAUUUUAAUAAAAUACUAAAUUAUUAAAUCAAAUUUUUAAUUUUAAAAAAAAAUGAUUAAAUUAGUAAUUAUUAAAUUUUAAAUAAUAUAAUUUUUUUAAUUAAAUUAAAUUUAAUAAAUUAGGCAAAUUUUAUAUUCACCUGUUUAACAAAAACAUGUCUUACUGAAAUUAAUUUUAAGUCUAAUCUGCUCAAUGAAUUCAAUUAAAUAGCUGCAGUAUUAAUAACUGUACAAAGGUAGCAUAAUAAUUAGUUUUUUAAUUAAAAUCUAGAAUGAAUGAUUCAAUGAAAUAUAAACUAUAUCAAAUUUAAUUAAUAAAUUUUUUAUUUAAAUUAAAAAAUUUAAAUAAAUUUUAAAGACGAGAAGACCCUAAAGAAUUUUCAUAAUUUAUUUAUUUAUUUAAUAAUUAAAUUAUUUUAAUUGGGGAAAUUUAAAAAUUUAACAAAUUUUUUAUUUAAAAAACAUUUAUUUUUGAAUAAAUAUUAAUUUUUUAAGAAAAUAAAUUAAAUUACCUUAGGGAUAACAGCAUAAUUUUUUUAAUAAGUUCAAAUUUAUAAAAAAGUUUAUGACCUCGAUGUUGAAUUAAGAUUAAUUUAAUAGAAAAAUAUUUUAAAUUUAAGUCUGUUCGACUUUUAAAAUCUUACAUGAUUUGAGUUAAGAUCGGUGUAAACCAGAUCGGAUUCUAUCUUAAUAUAAAUUAAAUAUUUUUGUACGAAAGGAAUUUAUAUUUAAAAUAAUUUUUUUUAUUAAAUAAUUUU